rnacentral:tRNA from 1 species
CGGGGAAUAGCGCAGGUGGUAGCGCACACGGUUUGGGACCGUGAGGUCCCGGGUUCGAGUCCCGGUUCCCCGA